GUUUGGAGCAGUGUUCCGCUCUCGUGGCUGCACUUUCCGCGUGUCCUCCCAAUCUGCCGGCAUCCGCGCACCUCCGCGCCUUCCCACACUCUUGGCUGUAUCUCCGCCGUUGUCCCGUGCGGUCUGUUGCAGCCUCCUCGGCCCUGCGCAGAUGAAGACCCUCCCCCGGACGGCUUUGCGGGCCCUGCCUCAGCCGGCGCCCCCUUCUCUCCUGCAGGACCCGGACCCGCACUGCAGGGGCUGAGUGCCCCCUGGGAGUGUCACGUGACUGCUGUCGUAUGGGAGAUGUGGUCAGGAAGAGCCUGGCUAUGAGCCUCAGGUGGAUCUGUGUACACAGGCUCCGUGGAGGUUCCUCUUCAUGUCAGCCAGGCGCUAGACCCUGGGGCCUCAGGUUCUCUUUUUAAAGGGUGACCCCAGAGUUUCACUAGAGAAGAAACUCCCAGGCCUGUGGUUCUGAGGCUCCCUAGCUUUCUGGUUCACAUCAGUGGGUGUAUUAGAUGGCUGGCGGAGUCCCCAGCCAUGUCGUCAGCCCUCAGCAGGGGGCUGACCUGCCUUUCUAUGCUACAGAUGUGUUGGUGGAAGGCUGAAACUCUGCAAUGGUGCUUUCAUUACUCGGUGACCCUGAAGAGGCAACACGGCGCCCCCUAGAGGCAUGACUGGCUCCCAGGUAACAGGUGACAUCUAGUUUGGCUGUGUAAACUGGGAGCUUGGGCCUGUUCCAUUGGGAUCCUCUGAGCUGUUACUUGAAGAUGGUGCUGGAAAGUAAUGCUUGUGGGCUGCUUCUAGAUUCAUCCACUGUGUGCACAGCAGCGGGACAGAAUGGAGAGGGAGGUCCCCACACGAAGCCUCACCAGGGCUCGCUGCCCUCUGCGCCGAGUCAUGGGAGAACCCUUCCCUCAGCACAGAGAUGAGGGGAAGCCCUGGGACUGGCAUCUCUUGAGUCCCGACACUGCCCUGGUUGGGGGGUGGGGGAGCUGUGGACAGGGAAGGCUGGCCCUGAGCCUCAAUGCUGCGCCUGGAUGACUUCAGCAACCAGGAGUUUUUCUCUUGAGUUGGCAGCUGCUUGUCAAUCUGCUCUCCACCCAUCCAUUCAAUAAACUGUACACAG
rnacentral:lncRNA from 1 species